rnacentral:rRNA from 2 species
GUCAGCUCGUGUCGUGAGAUGUUCGGUUAAGUCCGCUAACGAGCGCAACCCUCGCUGUGUGUUAUAUGUGUCACAUGGGACUGCCGGCCUUAAGCCGGAGGAAGGUGGGGAUGAUGUCAAGUCAGCAUGGCCUUUAUGUCCUGGGCUACACACACGCUACAAUGGUCAGCACAAUGGGUACGCUAAGCCGCAAGGUGGAGCCAAUCCUCAAAGUUGGCCUCAGUUCAGAUUGUAGGCUGCAACUCGCCUGCAUGAAGAUGGAGUUGCUAGUAAACGCAGGUCAGCUAUACUGCGUUGAAUACGUUCCCGGGGCUU